AUUGAACGCUGGCGGCAGGCCUAACACAUGCAAGUCGAACGAGUGGCGGCCGGGUGGGUAAUGUCUGGGAAACGUCCUGAUGGGGGGGGAUAACUACUGGAACCGGUGGCUAAUACCCCAUACAAUCGGCUGGCCCCAGAUGGGAUUGGCUAGUGGGUGGGGUAACGGCUCACCUAGGCAACGAUCCCUAGCUGGUCUGAGAGGAUGACCAGCCACACUGGAACGGAGACACGGUCCAGACUCCUACGGGAGGCAGCAGUGGGGAAUAUUGCACAAUGGGCGCAAGCCUGAUGCAGCCAUGCCGCGUGUAUGAAGAAGGCCUUCGGGUGGUAAAGUACUUGCAGCGGGGAGGCGUUACCCGCAGAAGAAGCACCGGCUAACUCCGUGCCAGCAGCCGCGGUAAUAC
rnacentral:rRNA from 1 species